GGAGGGAAAUUGGGAGACACAGAAGCUCGUCCUGGAGGGGCCGUCGAGGCCUGGUGUCCCUAAAUUGCCCAGGUUGGGCUCAAACUUCUGAUCUUCCUGCCUCGGCCUUCCAGAGUGCUAGGGGUUACAGGAGCGCUUGGUCUCCUUUGCUGUGUGGCUUCUACCACGUGACCCAGUACAGUGGCUGCAGUUCCAGUGAUCACAACUGUUGCCAUGAGCAGAGAGGAAGAGGCAAAUAGGAGCGCAGGGGACUGCCCCUGUCCCAGCACCUCUCCGACCCCAUGGAAGAACCUGGGGCAGCACACGGGCCAGGACAUCUGGGAAAUCGGUCACCACUGUCCCAAGUCAGAACCACCUGGAGGGCGGACUCGGACUGAGGGGAGCCUUGAGUCGGCAUUCAGGGUCCCAGCCGGCGUGCGGAUCCCCAGCCACAACCCUUAGCUCCAGUCAGGUGCCCGGACGCUGCCGGGAGGGACAGGAGAGCAGGUUCUGUGACCGUGGGGAAGGACUGGGAUUUUCCAGGACGGCGCCCUGGCUGUAUCACCCCACGUCUCCGUGUGCCCCUCGGCCGCCUGUCCCUGCUUGUGGGGACCCGAGCUGGGGGCCUGGGUUAGUGGGCUCUGAGUGGGCGGGGGCCGGGCUGGGCCCCGGGAGCAGUGUGCUGUGACUCUGGAGCCUGCAGCCUCCAGAGAGCCGAGCCCAGAGCAGCGGCCGCGUCCCCAACCCAAGGUCACUGUGCCUCCCCGGGCCCACCGCACCCGCUACGCUAUACCCCACUUUCAGACCUGGGUGCCUGCUCUCCACCGCCCUCUUCCCUCCUGUGGCACCCUGGACCCUCCAACCACAGGGAGGCCGGAGCAGGGCUUAACCCCGGACCAGCGCCUUCCUGCUGCUGUGGGCUAUGAACCCCAGACGGCCGGGCUGUGACCUCAGCACGGUCCUGAGCCUCUCUGAGCUGCUGACCUCGGCCACCGACUCCAGUCUGAGGCUCUGAGAGACCCGAGGGGCACAGCUAGGCCCCCGGCCCCCGGCUCGAGGGCCCCUGAUGCUGGUGGACAAGGCCAGGCUGCAGGGUGGGGUCGCCACCAGCCAUGGGUACUUCCUCCGUGGGUCUCAGCUUCCCCAGCCACGAGAAUGACAGCAGCCCCCUCAGCCACCAGGAGGCUGUGUGAGCCCAGGAGGCCCGGCACACUGGGGUGUUGGGGGACCUGGGCCAGGCCUCCACUCCCAGACUCCCAGGGCGCUGGGCACGGGAGGCUGGGUGGUCAUGGGGUGGGGCCUCCCCAGCCCUCUGCCCGGGUCCCCAGCUGCAGCCCUGGAGUUGCCGCUCAGGACCUAGGAGGUGCAGGGCCUGGAGGUGGCCGAGGCUGUGACCCUCACAGGCCAGCCCACGCCAGCAGAUAAACACAGGGCCAGAUGGGCAGCAUGGCCAGAGGGGACAAGAUGGACAGGCGGGAGGAAGGGGCGGCGCCUGGGAGCAGCCCUGGGGACACUUGC